AGCGUAGGUGGCCUAACAUGUCAACUGUGAAAACCCGGAGCUCAACUCCGGGCUUGCAGUUGAAACUGGUAGGCUUGAGGACGGUAGAGGAAGACGGAACUGCCAGUGUAGGGGUAAAAUCCUUAGAUAUUGGCAGGAACGCCGGUGACGAAGGUGGUUUUCUGGGCCGGUUCUGACACUGAUGCUCGAAAGCCAGGGGAGCGAACG
rnacentral:rRNA from 1 species